UGAAUACGUUUUGAUUCGGGUGCAGGCGCACAAAUGCUGCCUGCUUAAAAGGGAAACCGGUGAAAAGCCGGUGCUGUCCCGCAACUGUAAUUGGGAGCGAACUGAAGGACCACUGUCCCCGCCAUCAGGUGGGAAUGGGAAGGGUUCAGGGAGCGAUGAUCAUAAGCCAGGAGACCUGCCCGUUUCAGCGAGCAUCA
rnacentral:ncRNA from 2 species